UUUUUCUUUUUCUUUCCCUUUUGAGAAUCCCCUGUCAUUUAUUUUUCUUUUUUCCUAUUUGUUUGUCUUUGCAUGUUCAUAGCUGCGUGUUUGGGUUUACAGUUUUAGGACUUCUUCUCUUUGACCACAUGCUCAUCUGAUUAUUUAUUUUGGAUUAGUUGUUUAAUCAGAGAUUAUUUAAGCUUCUAUUCCAAAAUUGCAUGAGUUAAGUCUAAUUAGGGUUUUAAUGAAUUGAUCACCAUGAUUCUGUUUAAACGUUCCCUUCUUCUAGCUCUGAAAUUAGAUUUUGUGUUUGAUUGAGUUAACUAGCCUGUUUUGAUUCAUAUGCCUGAUUAAUUUAGCUUCUAGGAUUUCGUUAUGGUUUCUGGUAAAUGUUAGUUUGAUUGCUGUGCUUAGCUAGGAAGAAUAGUCUCUUAUUAAUAAUUAGGCUGAUUCAAGUUCAAAUUACAUUAGCUUUCUUACUUUCCAUUUUUUUUAUUAACAUCUUUUGCAUCUUUUGAUUUGUUUCGAGUGUGUUUGGCUGAUUUGAAAAUCAAUAGAAACUUUAGGGACCUUUUUUUUGAACUAAAAAGUUUAGUUUAAGGCUGAAAUAAGCAGUAACUUGAAGGUUAAAAAUGGGUUUCUACCUAGGCUAAAAAUCAGAAAUUUCCUAAAAAAGGUACAGCUGUCCUAGCUGUUACAAAAAGAUGCUGAAAUAUAGGACAGUUGUACCAAGGAUAGUACUAUUUUUACCCUAGGAUAAGGAAUAUGCCAAAAAGAUACUCUCCCUAGGCAGCCUAUAUAUGUAGGUUUCCCUCAUUCUAAAAGGGAGAAUAAAUUAGCAAUCACCAGCCUUAUUCUCUGCACAAAGGUUCUCUUUCCAGAUUUUACAAAAACCUUAGAAACAUUUCAAAAGGAAAAACAUUCCUCUUUUGUUCAUAAGCUGGGAAAAUGGUUUGAAAUAGAGAGCCUUCUAAGGUUGGGAGCUUAAGUAAUCAUCUUGUGAGAAGCAUCUUUGUAGCUGGCCUCUUGCAGAUCUUAUGCACUGAUUUUGAAGUAGUUGAUGGAAGGAAUUUUGAAACCAGAAGAAAUUUUUUUUUUUUUUUUUUUUUUUUUUACUUUUCAGAAUUUUCAUUUUUAGAUGCUAGUUAUGAUGGCUGUUAGGAUAUUGAUUCAUUAGGAUUAAAAUCUUUCUUGUAUAAAUUCUUGGACUCACAAUAUUGUAAACGGACUGUUAAGUUUCAAAUUAUGCUUGAUUAUCAGUAGACUUUCAAUAAGAGAUUUUCCUCUGUAAUAAACAUGUUUUGUAGUUGCAUGUAAAUGAAAAUUGGGCCAGACUUGCGUCCAGGCCCAAGUUUGAGAUUCA